rnacentral:rRNA from 1 species
UGGGGAAUAUUGCACAAUGGGGGAAACCCUGAUGCAGCGACGCCGCGUGAGUGAAGAAGUAUUUCGGUAUGUAAAGCUCUAUCAGCAGGGAAGAAAAUGACGGUACCUGACCAAGAAGCCCCGGCUAACUACGUGCCAGCAGCCGCGGUAAUACGUAGGGGGCAAGCGUUAUCCGGAUUUACUGGGUGUAAAGGGAGCGUAGACGGCUGUGCAAGUCAGAAGUGAAAGCCCGGGGCUCAACCCCGGGACUGCUUUUGAAACUGCGUGGCUGGAGUGCAGGAGAGGUAAGCGGAAUUCCUGGUG